ACGGGUGCGGAACACGUACACAACCUUCCUUUUAGUGAGGAAUAGCCCGGGGAAACCCGGAUUAAUACCUCGUAAUAUUAUGAUGUGGCAUCACAUUAUAAUUAUAGCUCCGGCGCUAGAAGAUGGGUGUGCGGCUGAUUAGGUAGUUGGCGGGGUAACGGCCCACCAAGCCUACGAUCAGUAACUGGUGUGAGAGCACGACCAGUCACACGGGCACUGAGACACGGGCCCGACUCCUACGGGAGGCAGCAGUAAGGAAUAUUGGUCAAUGGACGCAAGUCUGAACCAGCCAUGCCGCGUGGAGGAUGAAGGUCCUCUGGAUUGUAAACUUCUUUUCUCUGGGGCGAAAAAAGGGCUUUCUAGCUCACUUGACAGUACCAGAGGAAUAAGCACCGGCUAACUCCGUGCCAGCAGCCGCGGUAAUACGGAGGGCGCAAGCGUUAUCCGGAUUCACUGGGUUUAAAGGGUGCGUAGGAGGGCAGGUAAGUCAGUGGUGAAAUCCCCGAGCUUAACUUGGGAACUGCCGUUGAUACUAUCUGUCUUGAAUAUUGUGGAGGUAAGCGGAAUAUGUCAUGUAGCGG
rnacentral:rRNA from 1 species